GUUUACACCAUGUAGGGGAGCAGGUGCCUUAAAGUCUGGCUUUGCCCCCAAAAGACUAACAGAAAAUCCCACUCUGAAGUGAGAAGAUCUUCCACUACUUGGACAAAUGCUUGGGUGAUAUUUUUCCACCAUGUAAAACUAAUAGUGCUCAGAGACAAAUACAGGUACGGCAGUGGUGCCUGGGGAUCCUUCAGUGCACAAUAGACUUGGAGCUAUUCCCACAGAGACCUAAUUAAUGAUUGUUGCUCAACAACGACAGCGUUUGAGUGACUGCACAGGCCAGAAGUGCUGUUAUACUGCACUGAAAGCAGCUGUAAGCCAGUAUGCAAAACCAGAGAUCACGGCUUCACCUUGCUGCUGCUGCUGCUGCAGCAGAACUGGUAGCAAAAUGAUAAAUGAGUGUGUGUGGAGUGGGGAGAUGCAGAAGAAUUCAGCAGGACUGCAACGUUUCUCAGCUAACGCUGGCUGUCAGAACAGACAAGCUGCCUCUGUAAGAUUAUAUGCUUUACAGAAAAAGAAGAAAAAAUGUAAGUGGGUAGUCGUAAAUAAGGAAGGUAGUGGCAAGCAAACAUGCCUGAGCUCAAAUAAAUAAGCUGAUUUGAGUUUAUAUAGGCAGAAAUGUACACCUACCUCAAACACUGUACAGGCAAUAGAAGAAAGACACUGUAAUGGUGGGAGACUCAUUAGCUAGGCUAAAGACAUCCAAGUCAAGAAUCUCACCUGUGGUGAAUGUGUUUUUUUUGUGAGUACCUACUCUCCAUGUACUUACUCACUCAUAUUCGCCUUUGGCA